rnacentral:rRNA from 1 species
GUAACACGUAAGCAACCUGCCCUGAAGUGGGGGACAACAGUCCGAAAGGACUGCUAAUACCGCAUGUGGACGUUGGUCGGCAUCGAUCAUCGUCUAAAGCUUUAUGCGCUUCAGGAUGGGCUUGCGGCCUAUCAGCUUGUUGGUGGGGUAACGGCCUACCAAGGCUUUGACGGGUAGCUGGUCUGAGAGGACGAUCAGCCGGAUUGGGACUGAGAUACGGCCCAGACUCCUACGGGGGGCAGCAAUUAGGAAUCUUGCACAAUGGGGGAAACCCUGAUGCAGCGACGCCGCGUGCGGGAUGACGGCAUUCGUGUUGUAAACCGCUUUUAUCGGGGAAGAAGAAUGUGACGGUACCCGGUGAAUAAGCCCCGGCUAACUACGUGCCAGCAGCCGCGGUAAUACGUAGGGGGCGAGCGUUGUCCGAAGUUACUGGGCGUAA